rnacentral:snoRNA from 1 species
AUGCACGUAGCAACCCCGGGCUGCUCUGAUACAAAAGGAUGUGACUGCCCUAUGCAUGUGCUAGACUGUACCUACCCGUGUUACAUGCCGAGUGAUAUUCUCACCGCUUGGCGUGCGUCAAUGGUGUAGAUAAAUUC